rnacentral:sRNA from 1 species
GCUGGGCGGGUGGUGCACGCCUGUAAUCCCAGUGGCUGGGGAGGCUGAGACAGGAGGAUCACGGAGCCAGCCUCAGCAACUUAGAGAGGGCUUAGCAACUCAGUGAGACCCUGUCUCUA